rnacentral:pre_miRNA from 1 species
GAGCGUCAUAAAAAACGAAUUGAAAUGGUUCGUGAGGCUGCCAAAAAAACAAGAACGAGUAAUGGGAUUUUAGCAGACUUACAAGGACCAAAAAUUCGUAUAUCAAGUUUUAAGC